rnacentral:sRNA from 1 species
GUGCUCUGCACUUGUGUAGUCUCUAACAAUUCUUCUGUGUAGCUCCUUACAUUCUCCUGCUCUGUGUUCUGCACUCAUGUAGUCUCUAACAAUUCUUCCGCGUAGCUCUCAAUGAUUCCCUCGCCCCACAUUCCACACUUGUGUAGCUUCUAACAAUUCUUACGCGUACCCCUUAAUGUUCUUCCACUCCGCACUCCACUGUGAAGCGGCUUCUGAUAUUCUUCCACCCUGAACUUUCCCCUAUAAGAACCCCCUUUGUAUGACCUUUUCUUCUGAUUUCUUUUCUCUUUCUUUCCUUAAUCAAUUUGUAAUCUGUAAUUAGGAUAGUACCAAAUCAUUAAUCAAAGUACACCUGUUACAUUACAAAUUGAUUCUUCUGUAUUUAAGGCCUGAGUGUCUCAUUAUUAGUUCUUACACCCAAGUGUGUUGUUACCAGUUCUUACGCCCAAGUGUGUUGUUUAC